AAGCGUGGGGAGCAAACAGGAUUAGAUACCCUGGUAGUCCACGCCCUAAACGAUGCACACUAGUUGUUGUGAGGCUAGACCUUGCAGUAAUGCAGUUAACACAUUAAGUGUGCCGCCUGGGGAGUACGGUCGCAAGAUUAAAACUCAAAGGAAUAGACGGGGACCCGCACAAGCGGUGGAGCAUGUGGUUUAAUUCGACGAUACGCGAAGAACCUUACCUGGACUUGACAUAGAUAGAAUAUAACAGAGAUGUAUUAGUGCUUGCUUGCAAGAGCUAUCAUACAGGUGCUGCACGGCUGUCGUCAGCUCGUGUCGUGAGAUGUUGGGUUAAGUCCCGCAACGAGCGCAACCCUCGUCAUUAGUUGCUAACAGUUCGGCUGAGAACUCUAAUGAGACUGCCUGGGUAACCAGGAGGAAGGUGAGGACGACGUCAAGUCAUCAUGGCCCUUACGGCCAGGGCUACACACGUGCUACAAUGGGGUAUACAAAGAGCAGCGAUACCGCGAGGUGGAGCAAAUCUCAUAAAAUAUCUCCCAGUUCGGAUAGUAGUCUGCAACUCGACUACUUGAAGUUGGAAUCGCUAGUAAUCGUAGAUCAGCAAUGCUACGGUGAAUACGUUCCCGGGUCUUGUACUCACCGCCCGUCACACCAUGGGAGUUGAACUCAUUCGAAGCGGGGAUGCUAAAGUAGCUACCCUCCACAGUGGAUUCAGCGACUGGGGUGAAGUCGUAACAAGGUAACC
rnacentral:rRNA from 1 species